rnacentral:rRNA from 1 species
GAACUGCGCAAACGUUAUUCGGAAUCACUGGGGCUUAAAGAGUCCGUAGGCGGCUCGGCAGGUGAGGGUGUGAAAUCCCACGGGCUCAACCGUGGGAAUUGCGCUUCAAACCGCCGGGCUAGAGGGAGAUAGAGGAGAGCGGAACUGAUGGUGGAGCGGUGAAAUGCGUUGAUAUCAUCAGGAACACCGGUGGCGAAAGCGGCUCUCUGGGUCUCUUCUGACGCUGAGGGACGAAAGCUAGGGGAGCGAACGGGAUUAGAUACCCCGGUAGUCCUAGCUGUAAACGAUGAGCACUAGAUCGAGGGGACUCCCACAUCCUCUUGGUCGGAGCGAAAGUGUUAAGUGCUCCGCCUGGGGAGUAUGGUCGCAAAGGCUG